rnacentral:rRNA from 1 species
CCUACGGGGCGCAGCAGUGGGGGAUAUUGCACAAUGGGGGGAACCCUGAUGCAGCGACGCCGCGUGGGUGAAGGAGUAUUUCGGUAUGUAAAGCCCUAUCGGCAGGGAAGAAAUUGGACGGUACCUGACUAAGAAGCCCCGGCUAACUACGUGCCAGCAGCCGCGGUAAUACGUAGGGGGCAAGCGUUAUCCGGAUUCACUGGGUGUAAAGGGAGCGUAGACGGCCAGGCAAGCCUGGAGUGAAAGCCCGGGGCCCAACCCCGGGACUGCUCUGGAAACUGUGAAGCUGGAGUGCAGGAGAGGUAAGCGGAAUUCCUGGUGUAGCGGUGAAAUGCGUAGAUAUCAGGAGGAACACCGGCGGCGAAGGCGGCUUACUGGACUGUAACUGACGUUGAGGCUCGAAGGCGUGGGGAGCAAACAGGAUUAGAUACCCCUGUAGUC